rnacentral:rRNA from 1 species
GACGAACGCUGGCGGCGUGCUUAACACAUGCAAGUCGAACGGGAUCCGGGCUUUCGGGUUUGGGGAGAGUAGCGAACGGGUGAGUAACACGUGAGUAACCUGCCCCCUUCUUUGGGAUAACGUCGGGAAAUCGGCGCUAAUACUGGAUAUUCUUGCUGCAUCGCAUGGUGUGGUUUGGAAAGGGUUUCUGGUGGGGGAUGGGCUCGCGGCCUAUCAGCUUGUUGGUGGGGUGAUGGCCUACCAAGGCGUUGACGGGUAGCCGGCCGGAGAGGGUGUCCGGCCACACUGGGACUGAGACACGGCCCAGACUCCUACGGGAGGCAGCAGUGGGGAAUAGUGCACGAUGGGCGCAAGCCUGAUGCAGCGACGCCGCGUGAGGGAUGACGGCCUUCGGGUUGUAAACCACUUUCAGUAUGGAACAAGGAUCCUUCUUGUGGGGGGUUUGAGGGUACGUGCAGAAGAAGCGCCGGCUAACUACGUG